rnacentral:pre_miRNA from 15 species
AGGGGGCCUGCUGUCCUGAGCUGGUUUUGAUCUUUGGUUUCCUAGCUGUGUGAGUGUCUCUGAAUCAUAAAGCUGGAGAACCGAAUGUGGAAACCAGCUGCUCCUCCACAGCCUGGCUG